UACGUAGGGGGCAAGCGUUGUCCGGAUUUAUUGGGCGUAAAGAGCGUGUAGGCGGUUUGGUAGGUCCGUUGUGAAAACUCGAGGCUCAACCUCGAGACGCCGAUGGAAACCAUCAGACUAGAGUCCGGAAGAGGAGAGUGGAAUUCCUGGUGUAGCGGUGAAAUGCGCAGAUAUCAGGAGGAACACCGAUGGCGAAGGCAGGUCUCUGGGCUGUAACUGACGCUGAGGAGCGAAAGCAUGGGGAGCGAACAGG
rnacentral:rRNA from 1 species